rnacentral:lncRNA from 1 species
UUGUCUCAAAAGAAUCAAUAGAAAGGUGGUGGUGGAGGAGAUGCAUAUGAAACCCCAAAGACUGGGGGUAAUGGCCCUUCAUAUACUGGAGCUGGUGGUGGUGGUGACGGUGAUGGUGGGGGAGGAGAAUGGUGGUACACAGGCGUUGGUGGAGAUGAUGGUGGGGGCGGAGAAUUGUAGUGAUAAGGUGGGGGAGGUGAAGGUGAUGGUGGGGGCUUGUAAACAUAAGGUGGUGGUGGAGGUGGCUGCUCUUCAGGUGGGGGUUCUAUACAGGGAGGUGGAGGUGGGGGUUCUAUACAGGGUGGCGGUGAAGGUGGAGGUGGGGAAUGCACUGGAGGAGGCGGUGAAUUAGAUGGAGGAGGUGGAGAGUGUACUGGAGGAGGCGGUGAUGCAUAGGUGUAUACAGGUGGUGGAGGUGGUGG